UAUUUUCUUUGGAUUUCAGGAGGAAAAACUAGAUGGCGUUUACGUGCGUCCAUGAUAAAUAUUACGAGUGACAAGUUAAAUUGGUGUUUGUUACGUUUCUACCCUGUUCAGUGUUUUAAAGGGUUUUUCAUCAAAUAUUAAUGGGUUUCGCCUUGUCAGCUGCUGAACCUUAGCCUGCAUUCCUGCUAUCAUCAAUGUUGUCAAUAUUUUAAGCCCGACUAAGCUAGGGGCACUCACCCCGUUCGGUUCCUGACAUUCCUCCUUCAUGCGAAGCUAGGGGUUGAGCGCUCCUAAAACUAAGUUGGAUAAAACAAAAAAGUAAAAAAUUCUUAGGCAUUACGCCUUAGUUGUUACUGGUUGUCUUCUGAAUGUAGAUUGCAUUCUAUUUUAAACAUUCUCUUGGUUGCAACACUAAAAUUUGCCACUUUUUUGUGACAACCUGAGAGACACUUAUUUUCAUGAUUAUUUGCAUGAUACACUCGAUUGUUGUUUGAAGGUGGAUUGUUACCAGACAUCCUUUGAAUGGUACGCCCACUAUCAGCAGCCUUACAGUGUGCUUCAUAAAUACGUCAACCCCUGAGAUAAUAAUAUCAUUGGAAAUUGUGGUUUUGUUCUCCACUUUUAUUAUCCAUAUGCAAUUUUCGCGCUACUUUAUUUCCUUCAUGGUGUGAUAUUUUAUCAUCCUGGAAGAAGGAUUCUGGAAAUUGAUGAUUUCUAAUAUACAGCUGGUUUUCAGAUAACAAGUUUAAUGUAUUUACAUAUCAGAAUGAUCUCCCAAUUUGAAGUUGUGAGUGUCUUAUCUGAUUAUAGAUUUCUACUUUGAAAACCAAACUAUUUCCUUCUACAAAUGGAUUUUGAAGUAUCAUGCAUGUGGUAUUAUGUACUCUAUGAUAUCUUUGCGAAGCCUUUAAUUGAUGUUAUACCAAAAAAAUUCCCAUGGAAGGAAGUUCUUGCAGGAUCUGUUAUCAACCGUCUAUGUUAUGCAGUAAUUGGAUCUGCAGUUUAGUUAAAACUUUAACUUAGAAAUAUGCUCAGCGUAAAAUUGAUAUGGAGAAAAAUGAUAUUUGAUUGGAAGAAGUUCCUGGUUGAGACAAGAGAUUAAAAAAAUGAUACUGUUUGGAAGGACGACCGGCAAUUUCAAGAUUCAUUUAUUUCCUUCCACAUUAAACUAUUUAUAUAUUUUUAAAAAUUGAAUUGCAUAUCUGGGCUCCCUUCUUUUCUGUGGCCCCGUUUCCCCUUGACUUAUGAUAAGCCCGCAGGGGGUCAUGCCCCUACUGUGAUCAGCAGCAAAGGUUG